CUAUGGGUGGGGGCAACUCUGCUCACUGGAAGGGAUGCACUUGUUAGCCUGGCAAGCCAAUGCGGGAAGCAAUUUCCGGAGAAUGGCGAGUCAUGACAAUUUUGCGAAUCGCAUGUCCUAGCGACGGCGAUGCACCAUUCAAAUUUCUGCCCUAUCAACUUUCGACGGUAGGAUCGGGGCCUACCAUGGUCGUAACGGGUAACGGGGAAUUAGGGUUUGAUUCCGGAGAGGGAGCUCGAGAAACGGCUACCACUUCCAAGGAAGGCAGCAGGCGCGCAAAUUACCCAAUGGCAAUACGCCGAGGUAGUGACAACAAAUAAGUAUGCAGGGUACUACGUACUUUGCAAUACGAAUGAGUACAAUCUAAACCCCUUAAUGAAAGCCACUGGAGGGCAAGUCUGGUGCCAGCAGCCGCGGUAAUUCCAGCUCCAGUAGCGUAUAUUAAAGCUGUUGCGGUUAAAAAGCUCGUAGUCGGAUUUCAAGAUUUGGAGUGGCCGGUCCGCGCGACCGCGUGAGCACUGGCUGCCUGAUCUAUCCACCAUCUGAAGGCUCGCCUCUGCUCUUCAUUGAGUGGGGGUUAACGGCUGGGGCGACCUGGCAUGAGUUUCAGAACGAUUACUUUGAAGAAAAUUAGAGUGUUCAAAGCAGGCGAAUACGCCUUGAAUACAUUAGCAUGGGAUAAUACCAUGGGACUCUGAGCCCAUUUCGUUGGUUUCUGAGCACGGAGUCACGAUCAACAGGGACAGUUGGGGUGAUUCAUAUUCUGGCGACAGGGGUGAAAUCCUAUGACCGGCGGAAGAUGAACUAGUGCGAAAGCAUUUCACAAGGAUGUUUUCAUUGAUCAAGAACGAAAGUUGAGGGAUCGAAGGCGAUCAGAUACCGCCCUAGUCUCAACCAUAAACCAUGCCGACCAGGGAUUAGGAGACGUUUCAAUUUGAAUAGACUUUCCUAGCACCUUGUGAGAAAUCACAAGUUUUUGGGCUUCGGGGGGAGUAUGGUCGCAAGGCUGAAACUUAAAGGAAUUGACGGAAGGGCACCACCAGGAGUGGAGCCUGCGGCUUAAUUCGACCCAACACGGGAAAACUCACCAGGUCCAGACAAUGGAAGGAUGUACAGACUUGAAGAUCUUUAUAGAUUCGUUGGGUGGUGGUGCAUGGCCGUUCUUGGUUCGUGUGAUGACUUGUCUGGUUAAUUCCGAUAACGAGCGAGACCUCAACCUGCUAAAUAGUUUUUGUUAGGGUAC
rnacentral:rRNA from 1 species